CCUGGCGGGUAACAGUACCAUCACUGAUCUGUGAUUCUGAAGCUCUGAAGAUCUGGGCUGGAGGGGUAAACCUCGGACAUCUUGACUGCCUCAGGCUGGAGGGAGUUCACACGGGGCCUGGUACCAGGCAGGAUGCUGGGGCAAGGUGACCAGCACGGGCAAGGUCCUGGCCCUCCAGCAGCUGCCCUGGGCAGAGAAGACGCAGUGGCCACUGCUGCGGGGGGUGGGCAUCAAGCCCAGACUCAGGGGCUCAAGGAGGCUCCUGGGAGGAGGUGACACUUGAGCAGAGCCUUGAAGGACAAGCAGCAGUUUGCCUAAUAGUGGAUGGGGAUUGGCACCAGAAACCCUAAGCUGAGGGGAGAGAGCGCGCAGGAGCUAGUGGAAGCUUGUGUUGAGACGGAAGUUUCAUCAGCCUGGCCCCUGAGUGUCUGUGACAAGCAGAGUCUUCUUGAUGACCCAUUUUGGAUAUGCGGCCUACUAAGAAAGAAAUCUUGUUAAUGAUGGCGCUGAGAUCUGGAUUCAAUCUACUCACAAUGCCUUUGUUGCUUUGGUAUCAGGGU